CCUACGGGUGGCAGCAGUGGGGGAUAUUGGACAAUGGGGGGAACCCUGAUCCAGCGACGCCGCGUGAGUGAAGAAGUAUUUCGGUAUGUAAAGCUCUGUCAGCAGGGAAGAAAGAAAUGACGGUACCUGACCAAGAAGCCCCGGCUAACUACGUGCCAGCAGCCGCGGUAAUACGGAGGAUGCGAGCGUUAUCCGGAUUUAUUGGGUUUAAAGGGUGCGCAGGCGGUCUGUUAAGUCAGCGGUCAAAGCCCGGGGCUCAACCCAGGCCCGCCGUUGAAACUGGCAGUCUCGAGUUGGAGAGAAGUAUGCGGAAUGCGCGGUGUAGCGGUGAAAUGCAUAGAUAUCGCGCAGAACUCCGAUUGCGAAGGCAGCAUGCCGGCUCCACACUGACGCUGAGGCACGAAAGCGUGGGUAUCGAACAGGAUUAGAUACCCCGGUAGUC
rnacentral:rRNA from 1 species